GCUCCUCUCAAACAUCGUAGUGGCGGAUCCGAGCUUUUCCUUGCAGCUUCGACGUUCUUCCGCCCCUUGAUUUCGUCGUCGAUCUCCGUUCCAACCCUCCAUGGCCGGAAAGGGCGAGGGUCCGGCGAUCGGGAUCGAUCUCGGCACCACCUACUCCUGCGUCGGCGUGUGGCAGCACGAUCGGGUCGAGAUCAUCGCCAACGACCAGGGUAACCGCACCACCCCCUCCUAUGUCGCCUUCACCGACACCGAGCGCCUCAUCGGCGACGCCGCCAAGAACCAGGUCGCCAUGAACCCAACCAACACCGUUUUCGAUGCAAAGCGUCUUAUCGGAAGGCGAUACAGUGAUGCUUCUGUCCAAAGCGAUAUCAAGCUCUGGCCCUUUAAGGUUGUUCCUGGUCCUGGUGACAAGCCCAUGAUAAUUGUUCAGUACAGGGGGGAGGACAAACAGUUUUCUGCGGAAGAGAUUUCUUCUAUGGUCUUGAUAAAAAUGAAAGAAAUCGCCGAAGCCUACCUGGGUUCCACCAUAAAGAAUGCCGUUGUUACUGUUCCUGCUUACUUUAAUGACUCCCAGCGCCAGGCAACCAAAGACGCUGGUGUCAUUGCUGGUCUUAAUGUAAUGAGGAUUAUCAACGAGCCAACAGCUGCUGCUAUUGCCUAUGGUCUCGACAAGAAGGCUAGUAGUGUUGGGGAGAAGAAUGUCCUCAUCUUUGACCUUGGUGGUGGCACUUUUGAUGUCUCUCUUCUGACCAUUGAAGAGGGUAUUUUUGAGGUGAAGGCUACCGCUGGUGACACCCACCUCGGCGGUGAGGAUUUUGACAAUCGUAUGGUCAACCAUUUUGUCCAGGAAUUCAAGAGAAAGAACAAGAAAGAUAUAAGUGGAAACCCUAGGGCUCUCAGGAGGUUGAGGACAGCAUGCGAAAGAGCUAAGAGGACCUUGUCUUCCACUGCUCAAACUACAAUCGAGAUUGAUUCCUUGUACGAGGGCAUUGAUUUCUACUCCACCAUUACUAGAGCGAGGUUUGAAGAGCUUAACAUGGACCUGUUCAGGAAGUGCAUGGAACCUGUCGAGAAGUGCCUGAGGGAUGCAAAGAUGGACAAGAGCAGUGUCCACGAUGUUGUCCUUGUUGGUGGGUCCACGAGAAUUCCAAAGGUUCAGCAACUCUUGCAGGACUUCUUCAAUGGGAAGGAGUUGUGCAAAAGUAUUAAUCCGGAUGAGGCCGUUGCUUAUGGUGCUGCUGUUCAGGCUGCCAUACUCAGUGGGGAGGGCAAUGAGAAGGUGCAGGACCUGCUUCUUUUGGAUGUCACACCGCUCUCUCUUGGUCUGGAGACAGCUGGAGGAGUAAUGACUGUUUUAAUCCCGAGGAACACCACUAUCCCUACAAAGAAGGAGCAGGUCUUCUCGACGUAUUCUGAUAACCAGCCUGGUGUCUUGAUCCAGGUUUACGAGGGUGAGAGGACUAGGACGAGAGAUAACAAUCUCCUAGGCAAAUUUGAGCUCUCUGGUAUUCCACCUGCUCCAAGGGGUGUUCCUCAGAUCACAGUUUGCUUUGACAUUGAUGCCAAUGGUAUCUUGAACGUGUCUGCCGAGGACAAGACUACCGGGCAGAAGAAUAAGAUUACCAUCACCAACGACAAAGGUAGGCUGAGCAAGGAGGAGAUUGAAAACAUGGUUCAAGAAGCAGAGAAGUACAAGGCAGAGGAUGAGGAGCACAAGAAGAAGGUCGAGGCCAAGAAUGCUUUGGAAAACUAUGCGUACAACAUGAGAAACACCAUCAAGGAUGACAAGAUUGCUUCUAAGCUGGCUGCUGCCGAUAGAAAGAAGAUCGAGGAUGCAAUCGAACAGGCCAUUCAGUGGCUCGAUGGCAACCAGUUGGCAGAGGCAGACGAGUUUGAGGACAAAAUGAAGGAGCUUGAGAGCAUUUGCAAUCCGAUCAUUGCUAAGAUGUACCAGGGGGCUGGCGCAGACAUGGCUGGUGAAAUGGACGAUGACGUUCCUGCUGCUGGUGGCAGCGGUGCCGGGCCAAAGAUUGAAGAGGUUGACUAAGUAUUAUCACCUGGUGUUCCUGGUUUGGUUUGAUUUCCUAUGUAGGUCUACUUGCCUUGAUCAGGCGUAUUUUGGCUAGUGCAUUCUAGGGAAUACUUUAUCUUCUAUUUCACUAAGAGGUGGCAACCCAUUGAUACCUCUGACGUCAUUCAAGAGAAUCAAACUGUCAAUCAUAUCCUCUGUGAUUCCUGAUGCUGCAAUGAGAUCACCAAAUGCCCGAUUCGGACCUGCCAUUUAGUAAAUUCAACAGCAGGUCAGCAGUAAAAUACCGUUGCAUAGUUGGUGAGAAAUGCAAAGUGUUCGAUCAAUGUCUCCUUAUAAGCACGGGACUCUUCUCUUAUUUGUUUCAUCUGUCUCAACUCUAAAAAGCACUAAGAUAUGAAGAUCUCACUCACAUAUGUAUAGAGAUGAAAAUGCAGCUACAGUUGAAGGGUGGAUGUGAGUUUGUUAAGUAAUUUUCCAAAGGAUUGUAAGAAUAUAUGCUUGAGAUAUUGUAGCUCUUACAUAUUUUUUUGAAAAGGAAGUGAAAAUUUUGUUCAA